rnacentral:rRNA from 1 species
CAGGAUGAACGCUAGCGACAGGCUUAACACAUGCAAGUCGAGGGGCAGCAUGGGAGUGGCAACACUCCUGAUGGCGACCGGCGCACUGGUGAGUAACACGUAUGCAACCUGCCCCCUACAGGGGAAUAAACCAGAGAAAUUUGGCCUAAUGCCCCCGUAGUCCUCCUUGCCGCAUGGCGUGGAGGGGAAAGCUCCGGCGGUAGGGGAUGGGCAUGCGGCGCAUUAGCUUGUUGGCGGGGUGACGGCCCACCAAGGCGACGAUGCGUAGGGGUUCUGAGAGGAAGGUCCCCCACACUGGUACUGAGACACGGACCAGACUCCUACGGGAGGCAGCAGUGAGGAAUAUUGGUCAAUGGGCGCAGGCCUGAACCAGCCAAAGUCGCGUGCGGGACGACGGCCCUACGGGUUGUAAACCGCUUUAGCCGGGGAGUAACGGGCGCCACGCGUGGCGCCGUGAGAGUACCCGGAGAAUAAGCAUCGGCUAACUCCGUGCCAGCAGCGGC